rnacentral:rRNA from 1 species
UAAUACGUAGGAGGCAAGCGUUGUCCGGAUUUACUGGGCGUAAAGAGCGUGUAGGCGGUUGAGCAAGUCUGCUGUGAAAUCUCCUGGCUCAACCAGGAAGGGUCAGUGGAAACUGCUUAACUUGAGGACGGUAGAGGGGGGUGGAAUUCCCGGUGUAGUGGUGAAAUGCGUAGAGAUCGGGAGGAACACCAGCGGCGAAGGCGGCCCCCUGGGCCGCUCCUGACGCUGAGACGCGAAGGCCAGGGUAGCGAACGGGAUUAGAUACCCCGGUAGUCCUGGCAGUAAACGAUGAGCACUAGGUGUGGGGGGUAUCGAGCCCCUCCGUGCCGUAGUUAACACAAUAAGUGCUCCGCCUGGGGAGUACGGCCGCAAGGUUA